CGCCUGAUUGUGAAUGGACAAAGGUUGUUGUACUGCAUUUAUUUUAAAAAGUAUUGAACUGCUGUUUUAUUUCUUCAAGAUUUUUUUCCUGACACAGAUGUGAACGUAGCAGUGUUUAAGAAACUAUUAUGUCCAAUGACACUGGACCAAAAUAGGACUCCUGCACUUGGAGGUUCCCGGUUCAAAUCCAAUUCCUGCCACAUUUCUCCAUGUAAUGUGAAAUUGCGUCAGGAAGGGAAGCCAGAGUAA